UACGUAGGCAGCGAGCGUUGUUCGGAGUUACUGGGCGUAAAGGGUGUGUAGGCGGUUGUUUAAGUUUGGUGUGAAAUCUCCCGGCUCAACUGGGAGGGUGCGCCGAAUACUGAAUGACUCGAGUGUGGGAGAGGUGAGUGGAAUUCCUGGUGUAGCGGUGAAAUGCGUAGAUAUCAGGAGGAACACCGGUGGUGUAGACGGCUCACUGGACCAUAACUGACGCUGAGACACGAAAGCGUGGGUAGCAAAACAGG
rnacentral:rRNA from 1 species